rnacentral:rRNA from 1 species
ACCGUGAGGGAAAGGCGAAAAGAACCCCGGCGAGGGGAGUGAAAAAGAACCUGAAACCGUGUACGUACAAGCAGUGGGAGCACGCUUAGGCGUGUGACUGCGUACCUUUUGUAUAAUGGGUCAGCGACUUAUAUUCUGUAGCAAGGUUAACCGAAUAGGGGAGCCGAAGGGAAACCGAGUCUUAACUGGGCGUUAAGUUGCAGGGUAUAGACCCGAAACCCGGUGAUCUAGCCAUGGGCAGGUUGAAGGUUGGGUAACACUAACUGGAGGACCGAACCGACUAAUGUUGAAAAAUUAGCGGAUGACUUGUGGCUGGGGGUGAAAGGCCAAUCAAACCGGGAGAUAGCUGGUUCUCCCCGAAAGCUAUUUAGGUAGCGCCUCGUGAAUUCAUCUCCGGGGGUAGAGCACUGUUUCGGCAAGGGGGUCAUCCCGACUUACCAACCCGAUGCAAACUGCGAAUACCGGAGAAUGUUAUCACGGGAGACACACGGCGGGUGCUAACGUCCGUCGUGAAGAGGGAAACAACCCAGACCGCCAGCUAAGGUCCCAAAGUCAUGGUUAAGUGGGAAACGAUGUGGGAAGGCCCAGACAGCCAGGAUGUUGGCUUAGAAGCAGCCAUCAUUUAAAGAAAGCGUAAUAGCUCACUGGUCGAGUCGGCCUGCGCGGAAGAUGUAACGGGGCUAAACCAUGCAC